rnacentral:rRNA from 1 species
AUUGAACGCUGGCGGCAUGCUUUACACAUGCAAGUCGAACGGCAGCGCGGUAUUCGGCCUGUCGUAGAGUUGCGGACGGGUGAGUAAUACAUCAGAACGUGCCCAGUUGUGGUGGAUUGCUCGGCGACAGCCGGAUUAAUACCGCAUUAGCCCUGAGGGUCUAAGCGGGGGAUCUUCGGACCUUGCGAUAUUGCACCGUUCGAUGGCCGAUUAGCUAGUUGGUGGGGUAAAGGCCUACCAAGGCGACGAUCCGUAGCUGGUCUGAGAGGACGACCAGCCACACUGGAACUGAGACACGGCCCAGACUCCUACGGGAGGCAGCAGUGGGGAAUUUUGGACAAUGGGCGAAAGCCUGAUCCAGCAAUGCCGCGUGUGUGAAGAAGGCCUUCGGGUUGUAAAGCACUUUUGGUGGGAACGAAAAGGACUGUGCCAAUACCACGGUUCGAUGACGGUACCCGAAGAAUAAGCACCGGCUAACUACGUG